UUUUCGAAAAGUAUAUAUAUGUAGUGUCUUUUAGAUAAUUUGAACGUAGUUGAGUAAGGUUGUCUUUUUGAAGCUUGUAUCGACCGAUUUGUACUCUAAAUUCCAAGAUGGCACACACUUUUGCACGAGACCUUUGAUGGAGAGAUUGUCUAGUGAUAUUAUUCGAUACCUGAGAGAGAACCCACAUGUUGAAACAAUGUCGAAUCGAACCUUUGCGAAUAAAAAAAAAGAGAAAAAAAAAUAGAAAAAAAAAGAGAUAGAAAAAGAAAAGGAAUAACUACUUCAAUACCCAUUGUUCUUUAUAGAUAAAAUCUUUAGAUAAAUGGGCAAAAGUAGAUUGGCUAGUCUCGUUUUGUGGCCUUUGUUACUCGAGCAAUUAAGUCCGUAGGGGGAUUUUUUGUUGUUCGAUACCUGAGAGAGAACCCACAUGUUGAAACAAUGUCGAAUCGAACCUUUGCGAAUAA
rnacentral:lncRNA from 1 species